GCCUGGCUGGUUCAGUUGGUAGGGCACAUGACUCUUGAUCUUGGGUCGUGAGUUCGAGUCCCAUGUUCGGUG
rnacentral:tRNA from 1 species